rnacentral:rRNA from 1 species
GUNUUUUUGAGUUAUUUAUAAAGUNUGGCCUGCCCACUGAUUAAAUUUGAAUGGCCGCAGUAUUUUGACUGUGCAAAGGUAGCAUAAUCAUUAGUCUUUUAAUUGAAGGCUGGAAUGAAUGGUUGGACGAAGUAUAAGCUGUUUCAAAUAAAUUUUUAAUAGAAUUUUAUAUUUUAGUUAAAAAGCUAAAAUACGGUUAAAAGACGAGAAGACCCUAUAAAUCUUUAUAUUUUAUAUUAAUUUAAUUUUUUGGUUUUGUUUUUUUAUUUUAAUAUAAAUUAUUUUAUUGGGGUGAUGUUAAAAUUUAUUUAACUUUUAUUUUUUUUUUUCAUUAAUUUAUGAUUUGUUGAUCCAUUAAUAGUGAUUAUAAGAUUAAGUUACUUUAGGGAUAACAGCGUNAUUUUUUUAGAGAGUUCUUAUUGAUAAAAAAGUUUGCGACCUCGAUGUUGGAUUAAGAUAUAUUUUUAGGUGUAGCUGCUUAAAUAUUAAGUCUGUUCGACUUUA